ACACAGGUGGUCAGGUAGAGAAUACUCAGGCGCUUGAGAGAACUCGGGUGAAGGAACUAGGCAAAAUGGUGCCGUAACUUCGGGAGAAGGCACGCUGGCGGUAGGUAAAGUCCCUCGCGGACGGCGCCCAAGCCAGUCGAAGAUACCAGCUGGCUGCAACUGUUUAUUAAAAACACAGCACUGUGCAAACACGAAAGUGGACGUAUACGGUGUGACGCCUGCCCGGUGCUGGAAGGUUAAUUGAUGGGGUCAGCCG
rnacentral:rRNA from 1 species